CAUAAUGCUGGACUUGUGACGUCACUCUCAAUUGUUUCCAGAUGGUUUAUCAGACUGAUCAAAAAGAAGGUGAAGCCAAUAUGUUAGUUAAAAAGUAGAUCUUCAAACAGACAAAACAACUAUAGGUAAAGUAAAUUGCCUUUUCUCUCUGUCCUAAAAUAAAAUCUUUGAUCAAUUGUUCCAGUGUAUGAAAAUUUGAACUCUAAAGAGACCAGGCAAGCUUUUUAAACCCAAACAUCAAAAGCUUUGCUUCCAUUAGAAAAAUUUAAACCCAUGAUACUUUGAAUGGAUUUGAAAUUCUCUAAAAUGAGCUCUAAUAAUAACCUUCACAAACAGAAAAAGAACAGUAGGUUAUAUGGCUUCGUGCUACCAUUUUCUCUGGAACAUUAGUUUUCCAAAGAUGCCAUUUUGGCUCGUACCAAAUAAAAGGGCAAAGGUUACCAAAUGCAAGCCUGGGGAAGCCAGGAGACAGAACAGCUAUUACAAUGGAGGGGGAAAUCCAAGCUGUCAGCUCUGAAUGGAUAGAAAUUGCAUGUGUGAAAUUGACAACCAGCAACAGCAUGGUACCGUCAGAGGGGCCAGGAAAUGAGCUCGACCGGGAUUUCUGUUUACUGUAUUAGAGCUGCGGUUUUGUAGAGUUUUAUUUAAGAUUCACA
rnacentral:lncRNA from 1 species